rnacentral:rRNA from 1 species
AAUCCUCGAACGCAUCCGGCGCUCUCGGGUCUUCCCGGGAGCAUGCCCGUCUGAGCGUCGUUCCCAAAAAUCCCAACCCCAGAUGAUUAAAAACCAUCCGGGGAUGGGUGAUCGGGAGUCUGCAGCGAUGCAGUCUUCUGGGAACGAGGCGCACCUCCUUGAGCCCCAUCCGACG